rnacentral:misc_RNA from 1 species
GAUGAAGAACGUAGCGAAAUGCGAUAAGCAAUGCGAAUUGCAGAAUUCCGUGAGUCAUCGAAUCUUUGAACGCACAUUGCGCCCUCUGGUAUUCCGGAGGGCAUGCCUGUCUGAGCGUCAUUGUCAACCCUCAAGCUCAGCUUGCUGUUGGGUCCCCGUCGUUGCUUUAACGGCGGACCCGAAAGGUAAUGGCAGAGUCCGUGAGACCCUAGACGCAGCGAGCUUCUAGCACGCGUCUGGACGUUUUUCGGGCUCGGUCUUAACUAGAUGAUAACUUCCGAUUGACCUCAGAUCAGGUAGGGAUACCCGCUGAACUUAAGCAUAUCAAUAAGCGGAGGA